UUCAAGGUUUUUUUUGAAACCACAUAUUCAGACGGAGAUUUAGUUU
rfam:Strongylocentrotus purpuratus Contig17421_fixed, whole genome shotgun sequence.